UAAUGCUCCAUAGUGGAUAUGUCCUGGAAUGGUGUAUCCUCGAAAGAUCCGUCGCCUUAGGAUGGGACUGCGUCCGAUUAGGUUGUUGGCGGGGUAACGGCCCACCAAGCCAUUGAUCGGUACGGGUUGUGGGAGCAAGAUCCCGGAGAUGGAUUCUGAGACAUGAAUCCAGGCCCUACGGGGCGCAGCAGGCGCGCAAACUUUACAAUGCGAGCAAUCGUGAUAAGGAAACCCUGAGUGCCUGUCGAUGCAGGCUGUUCAUAUAUCUAAAUCAUAUGUGAAGAAAGGGCAGGGCAAGACCGGUGCCAGCCGCCGCGGUAAUACCGGCUGCUCGAGUGAUGGCCACUAUUACUGGGUUUAAAGCGUCCGUAGCUUGACUGUUAGGUCUCUUGGGAAAUCUUCACGCUCAACGUGAAGGCGUCUAAGAGAUACCGGCAGUCUUGGAACUGGGAGAGGUAAACCGUACUUCGGGGGUAGGAGUGAAAUCUUGUAAUCCUCGAGGGACGACCUAUGGCGAAGGCAGUUUACCAAAACAGCUUCGACAGUGAAGGACGAAAGCUGGGGGAACAAACGGGAUUAAAUACCCCGGUAUUCCCAGCCGUAAACAAUGUGCUUUAGGUGU
rnacentral:rRNA from 1 species